CAGUAGCCGCGGGAAUACGAAGGGGGCUAGCGUUGUUCGGAUUUACUGGGCGUAAAGGGCGCGUAGGCGGAUUUGUAAGUCAGGGGUGAAAUCCCGAGGCUCAACCUCGGAACUGCCUUUGAUACUGUGGAUCUUGAGUCCGGGAGAGGUGAGUGGAACUGCGAGUGUAGAGGUGAAAUUCGUAGAUAUUCGCAAGAACACCAGUGGCGAAGGCGGCUCACUGGCCCGGAACUGACGCUGAGGCGCGAAAGCGUGGGGAGCAAACAGGAUUAGAUACCCCGGUAGUCCCUGUCUCUUAUAC
rnacentral:rRNA from 1 species